rnacentral:rRNA from 1 species
UGGCCGUUCUUAGUUCGUGGAGUGAUCUGUCUGCUUAAUUGCGUUUCAAAUAUAUUUUAUUAUAUAACGAGUCUACAAAGGAGUGGUUCAUUAACAGACAAUCAUAUCUUUGAGCGUCUGGAAUCUACUCUAUUUGGCUCAAUUGAACGCAACGGACGUGAUCGCGAGUCCUUGUUGAACUUCAGUAUAUAUUGACUAUCCCCGUAGGAAGGGAUUGGCAAUAAUUGAAUGUUCGCUUUCUAUUAGGUGUGUAUAUAUAGUCUCAAAAUUACAUGUAUUUGUAAUGGCGAGUAAUAUUUAUACUAUCCUGUAGGAAAACUCGGGCGACCGCUGUAAUAUUUCUCUUUAAAACAGAGGAAGAUUGCGGCAAUAACAGGUCUGUGAUGCCCUCAGAUGUCCCGGGCCGC